rnacentral:rRNA from 1 species
GAUGAACGCUGGCGGCGUGCCUAAUACAUGCAAGUCGAGCGAACAGACGAGGAGCUUGCUCCUCUGACGUUAGCGGCGGACGGGUGAGUAACACGUGGAUAACCUACCUAUAAGACUGGGAUAACUUCGGGAAACCGGAGCUAAUACCGGAUAAUAUAUUGAACCGCAUGGUUCAAUAGUGAAAGACGGUUUUGCUGUCACUUAUAGAUGGAUCCGCGCCGCAUUAGCUAGUUGGUAAGGUAACGGCUUACCAAGGCAACGAUGCGUAGCCGACCUGAGAGGGUGAUCGGCCACACUGGAACUGUGACACGGUCCAGACUCCUACGGGAGGCAGCAGUAGGGAAUCUUCCGCAAUGGGCGAAAGCCUGACGGAGCAACGCCGCGUGAGUGAUGAAGGUCUUCGGAUCGUAAAACUCUGUUAUUAGGGAAGAACAAAUGUGUAAGUAACUAUGCACGUCUUGACGGUACCUACUCAGAAAGCCACGGCUAACUACGUG